rnacentral:rRNA from 1 species
GACGGAGGAUGCAAGCGUUAUCCGGAAUGAUUGGGCGUAAAGCGUCCGCAGGUGGCAGUUCAAGUCUGCUGUCAAAGACCGGGGCUUAACUUCGGAAAGGCAGUGGAAACUGAACAGCUAGAGUAUGGUAGGGGCAGAGGGAAUUCCUGGUGUAGCGGUGAAAUGCGUAGAUAUCAGGAGGAACACCGGUGGCGAAGGCGGCUCUCUGGACGGUGACUGACGCUGAGACGCGAAAGCGUGGGGAGCAAACAGG